CUCUCCGCAGAGCGUAAUCAGCCGGCGCUCUCCAUGCCAACCAGGGAGCUGUAGUUUGUUUUAGGUGAACGAUAAACAGGAUGGUUUCAAUACAUAAGAGAAACUGGCGUAGGCCAUUUGCGCAUACAUCCCCCAAAGACAGGGUUUUUUUUACGGAGGGACCGUAGACCACCUAUUGGUAACAGCGAGCUGAAACAAAAACGUGGGAUGUGUUCACAUUUCUUUUUUUCUCUGAACACAUUUUUCUCCAAACCACCUACUUUCCUGCAUGUGGGCAGACUGCUUGAGCAAGCCUUUGUCCAAAAUGAUGAACAGUAUUGAAAUAUGCAAAACAAUUUAAGAUGCAGGAUUUCUAUUAUUAUUGUUAUUAUUUUGAAGAAUAGGUCAUAACCUAGUUGUUUUCAGAAUGUCACAGAUGGCCCAGUGAUGUUUCCCCCUAGGGGUCACGGGGAAGCCAGCCAAAGAACGCCACAAAAUCCAUGGAAGGGAUUUCCAGUUGUUAACCACAAAUCCGGACAAAUGAUGAUUCCCUCGCGAUGUUGAUCUUACACCUUAAUUCAGUGGUCUCCGACCCUGGUCCUGGAGAGCUACAGGGUCUGCUGGUUUUUGUUUUCACCCUAAAAUCAGCACCCAGUUGAGACCCCAAGACACCAGGUCACAUGGUGGAGACUGCAGUCAUGUGAGUGUCUAGCACUGGGUCCAACCUGGUCUUGAACACACCAAGGGUACCUCCGGUUUCCCCACCACAGUCCAAAGACAUGCAGUCAGCCAGCUGAUCUGUGCCACCAACCAGACUGCUGAUCUGCACUGCCAGCCUGCUGAUCUGUGCAUCCAGCCUGCUGAUCUGCGCAGCCAGCCUGCUGAUCUGUGCCUCCAGUCUGCCGAUCUGCGCAGCCAGUCUGCCGAUCUGCCCAGCCAGCCUGCUGAUCCGCGCAGCCAGCCUGCUGAUCUGCGCAGCCAGUCUGCUGAUCUGUGCAUCCAGUCUGCUGAUCUGCGCAGCCAUUAUCUGUUCAAGACCUGGCAAUUAUUUUUUCAGUCUCUGGUUAUGAGUCUCUGGUCUUCAUCUCAAAGAACCAUAUAUUCUACUAUGUUGAAACCUGCACUGCAAGGGGCAUUCAAUAAAAAAUAAAAUUAUUUGCAUUUUUGAAAAUACUUUCACUGUAACAUGCUGUCGUUGUCCAAGACACAAAAUAUUAUGAUACAAAACAGUCAAGAUAGCGUUGAGCACGGCAGCCGAGUUUGGAGCUCCCAGCCUGCUUUGUGUAUCGUUGACAGUGCAGCACUUUGUUGAUUUCAAAUGCUGCAUCGUGUUGAUGUCUAAUCCUGA